rnacentral:rRNA from 1 species
UUGAACGCUGGCGGCAUGCCUUACACAUGCAAGUCGAACGGCAGCACGGGUGCUUGCACCUGGUGGCGAGUGGCGAACGGGUGAGUAAUACAUCGGAACAUGUCCUGUAGUGGGGGAUAGCCCGGCGAAAGCCGGAUUAAUACCGCAUACGAUCUACGGAUGAAAGCGGGGGACCUUCGGGCCUCGCGCUAUAGGGUUGGCCGAUGGCUGAUUAGCUAGUUGGUGGGGUAAAGGCCUACCAAGGCGACGAUCAGUAGCUGGUCUGAGAGGACGACCAGCCACACUGGGACUGAGACACGGCCCAGACUCCUACGGGAGGCAGCAGUGGGGAAUUUUGGACAAUGGGCGAAAGCCUGAUCCAGCAAUGCCGCGUGUGUGAAGAAGGCCUUCGGGUUGUAAAGCACUUUUGUCCGGAAAGAAAUCCUUGGCUCUAAUACAGUCGGGGGAUGACGGUACCGGAAGAAUAAGCACCGGCUAACUACGUGCCAGCAGCCGCGGUAAUACGUAGGGUGCGAGCGUUAAUCGGAAUUACUGGGCGUAAAGCGUGCGCAGGCGGUUUGCUAAGACCGAUGUGAAAUCCCCGGGCUCAACCUGGGAACUGCAUUGGUGACUGGCAGCUAGAGUAUGGCAGAGGGGGGUAGAAUUCCACGUGUAGCAGUGAAAUGCGUAGAGAUGUGGAGGAAUACCGAUGGCGAAGCAGCCCCUGGGCCAUACUGACGCUCAUGCACGAAAGCGUGGGGAGCAAACAGGAUUAGAUACCUGGUAGUCCACGCCCUAAACGAUGUCAACUAGUUGUUGGGGAUUCAUUUCCUUAGUAACGUAGCUAACGCGUGAAGUUGACCGCCUGGGGAGUACGGUCGCAAGAUUAAAACUCAAAGGAAUUGACGGGGACCCGCACAAGCGGUGGAUGAUGUGGAUUAAUUCGAUGCAACGCGAAAAACCUUACCUACCCUUGACAUGGUCGGAAUCCCGCUGAGAGGUGGGAGUGCUCGAAAGAGAACCGGCGCACAGGUGCUGCAUGGCUGUCGUCAGCUCGUGUCGUGAGAUGUUGGGUUAAGUCCCGCAACGAGCGCAACCCUUGUCCUUAGUUGCUACGCAAGAGCACUCUAAGGAGACUGCCGGUGACAAACCGGAGGAAGGUGGGGAUGACGUCAAGUCCUCAUGGCCCUUAUGGGUAGGGCUUCACACGUCAUACAAUGGUCGGAACAGAGGGUUGCCAACCCGCGAGGGGGAGCUAAUCCCAGAAAACCGAUCGUAGUCCGGAUUGCACUCUGCAACUCGAGUGCAUGAAGCUGGAAUCGCUAGUAAUCGCGGAUCAGCAUGCCGCGGUGAAUACGUUCCCGGGUCUUGUACACACCGCC